GGUUCAGUAGCAUAGUGGUAAUGCAUCAGAAUGGAAUCUGGUAGGCGUAGUAGAUGUAUUCUGAGCACCCUUGUUCGACUCAAGGCUGGACCA